GACGAACGCUGGCGGCGUGCUUAACACAUGCAAGUCGAACGGAAAGGCCCUGCUUUUGUGGGGUGCUCGAGUGGCGAACGGGUGAGUAACACGUGAGUAACCUGCCCUUGACUUUGGGAUAACUUCAGGAAACUGGGGCUAAUACCGGAUAGGAGCUCCUGCUGCAUGGUGGGGGUUGGAAAGUUUCGGCGGUUGGGGAUGGACUCGCGGCUUAUCAGCUUGUUGGUGGGGUAGUGGCUUACCAAGGCUUUGACGGGUAGCCGGCCUGAGAGGGUGACCGGCCACCUUGGGACUGAGAUACGGCCCAGACUCCUACGGGAGGCAGCAGUGGGGAAUAUUGCACAAUGGGCGGAAGCCUGAUGCAGCAACGCCGCGUGCGGGAUGAAGGCCUUCGGGUUGUAAACCGCUUUCGCCUGUGACGAAGCGUGAGUGACGGUAAUGGGUAAAGAAGCACCGGCUAACUACGUG
rnacentral:rRNA from 1 species